CAGAUCCAGAUUCCACUCAUUCCAGAACUCUCUGUCUCUCUUACACUCAGUCCAGGGUAGGGCUUCUCUCAAUCGAUCUCCUGGCCGUACCUCACCUCCGUCCAGCCACCGCCUUGUGCCGCCGCCGUCGUUCCUUUGAGCAGCCACUGUCUGCUCGCUCACACUCUCUCCAUCGCGCAACAGCCAUCAAUAUCAACCUUUCCUUCCAUCGCUCAGCCAUCGCAACCUUCCUCCGUCGCGUGGCCACGCUGCCGCCGAAGGUGCUCCUCCGCAACCACUGUCUUGUUCGAAGGUUCUCCACCACUGCUCCUUGUCUUGGUCACUCGGUGUCUUUGUCUCCAUCUUGCAUGAUCUGUUGAAGGCUUCUUAUAGGUGAUCAAGCCGAUGAUGCAGACUGGAACAUUGUUCGCUCUGUGAGAGUUAAAACAUUACAUAUCAGUUCCCCUAUCUUGGCUGCUAAAAGUCCCUAUUUCUACGAGGUAUCAAGAGGAGCUUAUGACCUUGCCAUUAGCUGGUAUAGAAGCAGUAAUUUCUAGUGAUGAUCUUCAAGUUGCCAUUUUAUGUUUGAUUGGUUGUUUUGUUAUUUGACUUUUGAAUUUAUAUUUAAAUGAGAUUAUAGUUUAUGUAGUACUUUAAUUUGAAUGAUAU